rnacentral:rRNA from 1 species
AGUGAACGCUGGCGGUAGGCCUAACACAUGCAAGUCGAACGGCAGCACAGUAAGAGCUUGCUCUUACGGGUGGCGAGUGGCGGACGGGUGAGGAAUACAUCGGAAUCUACUUUUUCGUGGGGGAUAACGUAGGGAAACUUACGCUAAUACCGCAUACGACCUACGGGUGAAAGCAGGGGAUCUUCGGACCUUUCGCGAUUGAAUGAGCCGAUGUCGGAUUAGCUAGUUGGCGGGGUAAAGGCCCACCAAGGCGACGAUCCGUAGCUGGUCUGAGAGGAUGAUCAGCCACACUGGAACUGAGACGCGGUCCAGACUCCUACGGGAGGCAGCAGUGGGGAAUAUUGGACAAUGGGCGCAAGCCUGAUCCAGCCAUACCGCGUGGGUGAAGAAGGCCUUCGGGUUGUAAAGCCCUUUUGUUGGGAAAGAAAAGCAGCAGGUUAAUACCCCGCUGUUCUGACGGUACCCAAAGAAUAAGCACCGGCUAACUUCGUG